ACCGGUUAUCCUGCAGUAUCAUUAUGCUUGUCUUCAAAAUUAAGCCAUGCAUGUGGCAAGGUAUUGAACUUAAUUCAACUGUGAAACUGCGAAAUGGCUCAUUAAGAUCAGUUAUUAGUUUGUUGAAUGGUACGUGCUACCAGGAUAACCUAGUAAUCUAGAGCUGAAUACGUGCAACAAACCCCCGAACUUCCGGGAGCUGUUGGCCAUUUAUUAGAUAAAAGGCUUGACGCCGGCUCGCUCCGCUGAUCGAUUGAUUCAGAUAACUCGACGGACGCACGCUCCUCGUGCCGGGCGACGCAUCAUUCAAAUUUCUUGCGCCUAUCAACUUCGAUGGUAGAUAGGGGCCUACCAGUGUCGGUGACGUGCGUGACGGAGAAUUAGGUUCGAUUCCGGAGAGGGAGCUGGAAGAACGGCCUACCCACAUCAAGGAAGCAGCAGGGUAGCGCGCAAAUUUACCCAAUCCUGACACGGGGACGGAGCGUAGUAGUGACAAUAAAGUAACAAUUACCGGGCGCUUUAGUGAUCUGCGUAAUGGAAGAGUACAAUCUAAUCCCUUAACGAGGAUCCAUUGAGGCAAGUACUGGACGGUCGCCCAGCAACCGCGGUUAAUUCCAGCUCCAUAGUCGUAUAUUUAAGUUGUUGCAGUUAAAAAGCUCGUAGUGGGACCUAUGGGCCGCGCGCGGUCCGCCUCAGCGCAGUGCACGACUGCUGCGUCACCCUGUCGGCCGGCGAAUCGCCUCCUGCCUUAACUGGACGCGGUCGUGUCCUCGCGGCGCCAGUUACUUUGAAGAACAUUGAGAUGUGCUCAAAGCAAAGCCAUCGCUCUGGAUUACAUAGCAUGGGAUAACAUCAUAGGAUUCCGGUGUAUUGUGGUUAUAGGCCUCGGAUCGGAAAGUAAUGAUAAUAGGACAGUCGGGGGGCAUUCGUAUUCAGAGUCACGAGUGAAAUUCUUGGAUUUAUGAAGACGAACAACUGCGAAAGCACUUUGCCAAGGAAUGUUUUCAUUAAUCAAGAACGAAAGUUGGGGCCUCCCGAAGACGAUCAGAUAGCCUUCCUAGUCUUCAACCAUAAACGAUGCCGACAGGGAUCGGCGGAUUUGCUAUAUUGGACUCCCGGCACUUAUUGAGAAAUCAAAUUCUUUGGGUCCGGGCAGGAGUGAUGGUCGCAAGCUGAAACUUAAAGAAAUGACGGAAGGGCACACCAGGCUGGAGCCUGCCGCUUAAUUUGAGCUCAACACGGGGGAAACUUACCAGCGUCCAGACAUACCAAGGAUGACAGACUGAGAUGGCUCUUCUUAUUCUAGGUGGUGUGGUGCAGCGUUCUUAGUUGGUGGAGCGUUUGUCUGGUUAAUUCCCGUUAACGAACGAGACCCAGCCCUGCUAACUAGCUAUGCGGAGCCAUCCCUCCGCAGCUAGCUUCUUAGAGGGACUAUGGCCGUUUAGGCCACGGAGUACUUUUGAUAUAGUAAUUUGAUAUAGUAAUUUUCUUUGCAUUGCACUAUGCAACAAACAUGCUCGGCUCGAGGCAAACAUUUUGAUAUAGUAAUAUGCAUGCAGUACUUCAUCUCCAUAAAGCCCCUGA
rnacentral:rRNA from 1 species